GCCAUCUACUGGUGCCGCUGGGAGCUGCGGCAGCUCCGGGCCGGGGAGGACUCGAGCCUGCAGUGCGGGGAAGGCAGUGCCUCGCGGGAGAGAACCAGAAUGCUGUUUAUUUUUUAAUGUCUGUAGGUCAAGUCGUGUUUUAACAGAGUGGAACAUCCAGGCUGAUGGUGAAUGUAAAUGCCCCAAAGAAUCAUCUUUGCUUUUUUUGUGACUGACUCUUAUGCCUGGGAAAACGAGCUGCAUUUUGCACAGGUGUUGACCCCUCUGUUCCUGGUUGAAGUCAGUGAGUGCUCUGAGUGCACACAAAAAAUGCAACCCAGGGAGGCUUCCACCUGCCCAGUCCUCAAGGAAAUGUCAGCAGCCACUGAUGGCAAGAGGCUUCCUAAUUCAGAGCGAGCCCUGUUUCCCUUUGCAGGGCCUGUUCCAGUGGGGGAUGUGUAUUUUUAAUUAUCUGCUGUCCUUAUGUGAAGAGAUUUGUCCCUGCACUGUAUGAAUGUACUCCUGCUUGUUCCUUGUGUGAACUACCAGAAGUACAUAAAAGUACUUUAUCAAGUCCAGCUGCAGGGUGGCAGAUGCACAGCAACAGAGAAGGAGAAAAGGAGCAGUGGUAGCAAGUUCUGGGUGGCAUGAGUGGAAUCAUUCCAACGUGCAGGGACAGAUUUGUACUCAAGUUGCUUCAUUGCAGUGUCCAGGAGCAUCAGCCUUCAGGCUGCCAUGUGUUUAGAUUUCACCAUGAAAAUGAUAAGAAAUACAUCUACCUCCUCAUAACAGGUGACCUGUGAGGCAUUUUUGUGGCUUUUAAAAUGUUUGCUUCCACACAAUAAGAGUGAGUUUAUAGAAAGUUAGGCUCGGUGUUUUGGCAGACAUCUACAUGCUGUUAAAAACCCUGUCAAUUCAUCUCAGAAGUGGCAAGGAAUUGUGGUUUAUUGUAUUUUGUCACGACUUUGUUCUGGCAACUGUAUCAAAUCCAAAAGAAUUGGCAGCCAGCGGUGAAGAGCAGCUGCUGCCAUCCAGCUCUGAGUCCUCCCAGGCCUGUGCCAUUAGCCCUCCUCCUUCCCUUUGCCUUUCCUCCCUCUCUCCAGUGUUCAUUUCAAAGGUUAUUAAAUGAAAUCAAUUUCAGCCUUCCUUUAGCCUAAUGCUUUCCAAUUUUUCUCUUCCCUGGCUCAUGUGUCUCAUCCUACAGGGAUAUUCUUGUCUCCAUUUUAACCAGCUCCUUGUUUGUAGUGCUUUCCUGAAGUCCAGACUGAUGAGAAAAGUGAUUCUUCUAAAUACAGAAAAGUGUGGGAUGGCAUGGAAGGCACAUUACAAAGUGCAGCAAGCUCACCUGAGAAGCAGCCCCUGAGCUGUGGGGGAUUGUCCCAGGGCUAAUCCUGGGAUGCAGCUCCUGGGACACGGAUCAUGGCUGGCCACAGCUGCUGGGGGACAUCUGCUGGCCCUGUCACCUGCUGCCCUUCAGCCUGGGACACUCUUCAUCCAUCACACCCUGGCCUGGGACCCCUGGUUUCUGUCUCAGCUGACUGCUCUUGUUUUAGCAGACAGGAGAAACGGGAAUUUGUCUGAUACUGUUUAAGCCUUGAGGAUUCCACAUGAGACCAGAAUGAAUUCCAAACCAGGGAUGGCUUGAAACAUUUCCUUCAAGAAUUUGAAUUCUUUUGUUAUUCUCUUCAUCUGGAGCUGCUGUAAAAGAGUCUGAAAACUCUGCUGCUCCAAGUGAUUUCCAUAAGUGGCUCCUUUAAUACCUCAAGGUUUGCUCACCCAUUCAUGAGGAUCUUUCUUUGCCUGCAAAAAGAGAAGCCUUGAGGAUUCUACAUGAGACCAGAUGAAUUCCAAACCAGGGAUGCCUUUAAACAUUUCCUUCAAGAAUUUGAACAUUUUCUUCAAGAGUUUUGUUAUUCUCUUCAUCUGGAGCUGCUGUAAAAG